rnacentral:rRNA from 1 species
AAGGCUUGACAUAUACCGGAAACGUUCAGAAAUGUUCGCCCCGCAAGGUCGGUAUACAGGUGGUGCAUGGUUGUCGUCAGCUCGUGUCGUGAGAUGUUUGGUUAAGUCCCGCAACGAGCGCAACCCUCGUCGUAUGUUGCCAGCACGUAAUGGUGGGAACUCAUAUGAGACUGCCGGGGUCAACUCGGAGGAAGGUGGGGAUGACGUCAAAUCAUCAUGCCCCUUAUGUCUUGGGCUUCACGCAUGCUACAAUGGCUGGUACAAUGGGCUGCAAUACCGCGAGGUGGAGCGAAUCCCAAAAAGCCAGUCUCAGUUCGGAUUGGGGUCUGCAACUCGACCCCAUGAAGUCGGAGUCGCUAGUAAUCGCAGAUCAGCAACGCUGCGGUGAAUACGUUCCCGGGCC